GAUGAACGCUGGCGGCGUGCCUAAUACAUGCAAGUCGAGCGAACGGACGAGAAGCUUGCUUCUCUGAUGUUAGCGGCGGACGUGUGAGUAACACGUGGAUAACCUACCUAUAAGACUGGUAAAACUUCGGGAAACCGGAGCUAAUACCGGAUAAUAUUUUGAACCGCAUGGUUCAAAAGUGAAAGACGGUCUUGCUGUCACUUAUAGCUGGAUCCGCGCUGCAUUAGCUAGUUGGUAAGGUAACGGCUUACCAAGGCAACGAUGCAUAGCCGACCUGAGAGGGGGAUCGGCCGCACUGGAACUGAGACACGGACCAGAGUCCUACGGGAGGCAGCAGUAGGGAAUCUUCCGCAAUGGGCGGAAGCCUGACGGAGCAACGCCGCGUGAGUUGUGAAGGUCUUGGGAUCGUAAAGCUCUGUUAUUGGGGAAGAACAUAUGUGGAAGGAAAUGUGGACAUCUUGACGGUACCUAAUCAAAAAGCCACGGCUAACUACGUG
rnacentral:rRNA from 1 species